UCAGCUCUCUCUGCCUUUUUUUUGGCUAAGAUCAAGUGAAGUAGCUGUUCUUCUUAGUUUAAUCGCUAGGACGUGCCCACGGGUACAAAGUGAUUAAACCAGUUUUUGGAACCCGGUCGGCGGCCGCUGAACUCCGUUCAUGUCGCUGAUCACGGUGUCGCCAGUAUUGCACUGUUUCUGGCUGACGCGAACAUCU
rnacentral:snRNA from 1 species